CACGUAGGCGGCGCAGCAAGUCGGACGUGAAAUCCCUCGGCUCAACCGAGGACGUGCAUUCGAAACUGCUGUGCUUGAGUAUGGAAGAGGGUCGCGGAAUUCCCGGUGUAGAGGUGAAAUUCGUAGAUAUCGGGAGGAACACCAGUGGCGAAGGCGGCGACCUGGGCCAAUACUGACGCUGAGGUGUGAAAGCGUGGGGAGCAAACA
rnacentral:rRNA from 1 species